rnacentral:rRNA from 1 species
UGAGGAAUAUUGGUCAAUGGGCGAGAGCCUGAACCAGCCAAGUAGCGUGAAGGACGACGGCCCUACGGGUUGUAAAUUUCUUUUAUAAGGGAAUAAAGUUCGCCACGUGUGGUGUUUUGUAUGUACCUUAUGAAUAAGCAUCGGCUAAUUCCGUGCCAGCAGCCGCGGUAAUACGGAAGAUGCGAGCGUUAUCCGGAUUUAUUGGGUUUAAAGGGAGCGUAGGCGGGCUUUUAAGUCAGCGGUCAAAUGCCACGGCUCAACCGUGGCCAGCCGUUGAAACUGCAAGCCUUGAGUCUGCACAGGGCACAUGGAAUUCGUGGUGUAGCGGUGAAAUGCUUAGAUAUCACGAAGAACUCCGAUCGCGAAGGCAUUGUGCCGGGGCAGCACUGACGCUGAGGCUCGAAAGUGCGGGUAUCAAACAGGAUUAGAUACCCUGGUAGUCCGCACGGUAAACGAUGAAUGCUCGCUAUGGGCGAUACAAUGUCCGUGGCCAAGCGAAAGCGUUAAGCAUUCCACCUGGGGAGUACGCCGGCAACGGUGAAACUCAAAGGAAUUGACGGGGGCCCGCACAAGCGGAGGAACAUGUGGUUUAAUUCGAUGAUACGCGAGGAACCUUACCCGGGCUUGAAUUGCAGGUGCAUGAGUCAGAGACGGCUCUUUCCUUCGGGACUCCUGUGAAGGUGCUGCAUGGUUGUCGUCAGCUCGUGCCGUGAGGUGUCGGCUUAAGUGCCAUAACGAGCGCAACCCUUCUCCCCAGUUGCCAUCGGGUAAUGCCGGGCCCUCUGGGGACACUGCCAUCGUAAGAUGCGAGGAAGGUGGGGAUGACGUCAAAUCAGCACGGCCCUUACGUCCGGGGCUACACACGUGUUACAAUGGGGGGUACAGAGGGCCGCUGUCCGGUGACGGUCGGCCAAUCCCUAAAACCCCUCUCAGUUCGGACUGGAGUCUGCAACCCGACUCCACGAAGCUGGAUUCGCUAGUAAUCGCGCAUCAGCCAUGGCGCGGUGAAUACGUUCCC